GACGCAGGCGCAACAAGGAGCUCUCCUUCACUGAGGUUCUGAAGAACUACAAGCUUCUACCUGAUUCCCGGCCCAGCAGCCCAGAGAGCCUGCACCAGCAUGAGAUGAUGAUUCCUAGAAUCCCUGUCAGCAUCACUAGACCUGAGGGGAGGCCUAGCAACCCUCGACGCCCCACAAGACGGCCUGUUAGACCAGUUGUCCUGGUCCAGCCUGACGUACAGCCUUCCAGACCUGAGGGGAGGCCAAGCAACUCUCGACGCCCCACUAGACGGCCUGUUAGACCAGUUGUCCUGGUCCAGUCUGACGUACAGCCUUCCAAACCUGAGGGGAGGCCAAGCAACUCUCGACGCCCCACUAGACGGCCUGUUAGACCAGUUGUCCUGGUCCAGCCUGACGUACAGCCUUCCAAACCUGAGGGGAGGCCAAGCAACUCUCGACGCCCCACUAGACGGCCUGUUAGACAAGUUGUCCUGGUCCAGCCUGACGUACAGCCAUCCAGACCUGAGGGGAGGCCUAGCAACUCUCGACGCCCCACUAGACGGCCUGUUAGCCCCGUUGUCCUGGUCCAGCCUGACGUACAGCCUUCCAGACCUGAGGGGAGGCCAAGCAACCCUCGGCCCCCCAAUAGACGGCCUGUUAGACCAGUUGUCCUGGUCCAGCCUGACGUACAGCCAUCCAGACCUGAGGGGAGGCCUAGCAACUCUCGACGCCCCACUAGACGGCCUGUUAGCCCCGUUGUCCUGGUCCAGCCUGACGUACAGCCUUCCAGACCUGAGGGGAGGCCAAGCAACCCUCGGCCCCCCACUAGACGGCCUGUUAGCCCCGUUGGCCUGGUCCAGCUUGACGUACAGCCUUCCAGACCUGAGGGGAGGCCUUCUAACCCUCAAUGCCCCAAUAGACGGCCUGUUAGCCCCGUUGGCCUGGUCCAGUCUUAUGUACAGCCUUCCAGACCUGAGGGGAGGCCGAGCAACCCUCGGAGCACCACUAGGAGAAAAGUGAGGCCCAGUAAUCCUGUUUGUCCCGUUAUUCUUGAGUCCCGACCUCCCAGUCCUGUGAGCAUCACUACCAGCAUUGUGGACCUAGUCCAGUUUGAGUCCUGUCCUGCUGUGAGUCUGGUCCAGCCUGAGUCACGUCCUGCCUGCCCUCUGACCCUGGAGGAGCUGGCCCUUUCAGAGUCAUGCAGCUUCAGCAACAAUGUGUUUGUUCUCUCCAUGCCGAAAGCUGCCCAGCCAGAGGAGGCUGCAAGAGGGAGCAGCAGCGCACCCAGGGACAUCAUCAGGCCUGAAGCCUUCGUCCAGACAGGACCCCUGCUGGCCAGGAGAGCCCAGAGGGAUGCUCCUCCUCCAAAGAAGCUCCCCAAACCCCCUGUGGACCCCCGGCCCAAACUGCUGCCCUCCCUGGGCCAGGGCAACGUGUCCCUUGUCAGUGCCAACGCCUGGGAUGAAAGGACCAAGAAGAAGAGAAAGAAAGGAGUCAGAGUCCAGAGGUCUAGCCUGGGCCUGAGACAUAUCCCCCGUGACCUAGAGCUGGCCAUGAUGAGGCCCCGUCUGGUCAAGUCGGCCGAUCCCUCCCAGCGUCCCUACCAGCCGUGGGACGACGAGGACGAGGUGGACAUCUACG
rnacentral:lncRNA from 1 species